rnacentral:lncRNA from 1 species
CAAAAUUCAAAAUCUAAAAAACUGGAUAAAUGCAUAACAUAUAUCGUUUCAGAGAACAACAAAGUUUCAAUAACCAGCUCAUAUUCCAAUUGGAAGAAUGGUCAAUGUACUCUUGUAUGCAGCAUAAAAAAUUGAAUAAGAGUGAAUUUCAGCAUAAAGACACAACAUCUAGCCAUAUAGCAGAAGUAACAUCAUCAGUAUCGGUUCACCAACAUACUUACGUUGUACUUUAUGCCUGUGAGACCCAGCUUUUAAUAGACUUUUAUUUUUUCUAUUAUUAUUAUUAUUAACAAAAACCAAUGUAAAUAGAAAUGAUUUAACUUGAGGUAUGACUGUAUUAAAUAAUACAAAAUUACAAAAUUUAUAGCAUAGUUUGUGUGAAAAAUUUAAAACUAACUGGUUUUAAUGUUUCAAUAUUUUACAAUACUUUAUUCAUGUGUCUUAAUUUAAAAAAAAAAAAGUGCUAAUUCAAGUCACUCUCAGUUUAUGAUAGAAUUCUGUUUCUGAAGAUUUUGUUACAAAAAAUUGACAUAAAAUGAAUAAGUCUAUAAAUUAGCUUCUAAAAUUCCCUUCAAAAUUAACCUAAGUAAUAUAAUAAUAUAUUUAAACUCUAAAAUAAAUGUUAUGAAUGUAAAAAUAGCAUUUUUUAAUGAUUAUAUAUCAAUUAAAUGCAAUAUUAUAUGUAAAAUAAUCAACCUACAUUAAGAUCAGUAUUAUACAGUAAGAUCCCAUUUGACAUGGGGAAUACAUUCCAAGAAAACCAAGUGCUAAAUGAAGCCAUGUUAAACAAGGUCAUCUUAACAUGUAAAUAAUGCCAUAUUAUAUUUUAAAAAUAUAUAAUAUCUUAAAAUAUAACAGUGAAAAUACCUUAAGGGAUAAGUGAAACAGGACAAUGAAUAAAAAAAUAUAUGUACCAUAUUUUUUUUUAUUUUAUUUUGUUACAU